rnacentral:rRNA from 1 species
CAUGCAAGUCGAGCGAGAAAGUGACUUCGGUCGCGAGUAAAGCGGCGAACGGGUGAGUACAACGUGGAUAAUCUACCCUAGGGUCUGGGACAACCCCGAGAAAUCGGAGCUAAUACCGGAUAAGACCACAGUAUCCAAGGAUACAGUGGUAAAAGAUUUAUCGCCUUUGGAUGAGUCCACGUCCCAUCAGGUAGUUGGUAAGGUAAAAGCUUACCAAGCCUAAGACGGGUAGCCGGCCUUAGCGGGUGAACGGCCACAUGGGGACUGAGACACGGCCCUGACUCCUACGGGAGGCAGCAGUGGGGAGUAUUGGGCAAUGGGCGAAAGCCUGACCCAGCGAUGCCGCGUGAGGGAUGAAGGCCUUCGGGUUGUAAACCUCUGUCAGGAGGGACGAUGGGACACUUGUGUCUUGACGGUACCUCCAGAGGAAGCCCCGGCUAACUCCGUGCCAGCAGCCGCGGUAAUACGGAGGGGGCAAGCGUUGCUCGGAAUUACUGGGCGUAAAGGGUCCGCAGGCUGUCAGGCAAGUUGGUUGUGAAAGCUCAAGGCUUAACCUUGGAAUUGCAUCCAAAACUGCCUGACUAGAGUCCAAGAGAGGUUGGCGGAAUUCCCGGUGUAGCGGUGAAAUGCAUAGAUAUCGGGAGGAACACCAGAGGCGAAGGCGGCCAACUGGCUUGGAACUGACG